AACGAACGCUGGCGGCAUGCCUAACACAUGCAAGUCGAACGAGACCUUCGGGUCUAGUGGCGCACGGGUGCGUAACGCGUGGGAACCUGCCCUUAGGUUCGGAAUAACUCCCCGAAAGGGGUGCUAAUACCGGAUAAUGUCUUCGGACCAAAGAUUUAUCGCCUUUGGAUAGGUCCGCGUUGGAUUAGCUAGUUGGUAGGGUAAAAGCCUACCAAGGCGACGAUCCAUAGCUGGUCUGAGAGGAUGAUCAGCCACACUGGGACUGAGACACGGCCCAGACUCCUACGGGAGGCAGCAGUGGGGAAUAUUGGACAAUGGGCGAAAGCCUGAUCCAGCAAUGCCGCGUGAGUGAUGAAGGCCUUAGGGUUGUAAAGCUCUUUUACCCGGGAUGAUAAUGACAGUACCGGGAGAAUAAGCUCCGGCUAACUCCGUG
rnacentral:rRNA from 1 species